rnacentral:lncRNA from 1 species
GGCCUUUCCCUCCAUCUGGUCUCUAAAUAAUCGGAUCUUUGUUUGUGUUAGGACGAGAUUUUUCUCUUGUUCCUGACACGCUUAAUUUCGAUUGUCUGAAGGAGCUACUCCCUGUCGUUAUAAGCUCAUACCAAAAGAAAAGAUAUACGAAUAUGAAACUUUUAUUUAAGGCAAAAUUAUUGGUAAUACAUUCGUAGAUUUUUCGAAUUCUAUGGUCACGG